AUUGAACGCUGGCGGCAUGCUUUACACAUGCAAGUCGAACGGCAGCGCGGGCUUCGGCCUGGCGGCGAGUGGCGAACGGGUGAGUAAUGCAUCGGAACGUGCCCAGUAGUGGGGGAUAGCACGGCGAAAGCCGGAUUAAUACCGCAUACGACCUGAGGGUGAAAGCGGGGGACCGAAAGGCCUCGCGCUCUUGGAGCGGCCGAUGUCGGAUUAGCUAGUUGGUGGGGUAAAGGCUUACCAAGGCGACGAUCCGUAGCUGGUCUGAGAGGACGACCAGCCACACUGGGACUGAGACACGGCCCAGACUCCUACGGGAGGCAGCAGUGGGGAAUUUUGGACAAUGGGGGCAACCCUGAUCCAGCCAUGCCGCGUGCGGGAAGAAGGCCUUCGGGUUGUAAACCGCUUUUGUUCGGGAAGAAAUCCUCUGGGCUAAUACCCCGGGGGGAUGACGGUACCGGAAGAAUAAGCACCGGCUAACUACGUG
rnacentral:rRNA from 1 species